UACGAAGGGUCCAAGCGGUAUCCUGAUUUAUUGGGUUUAAAGGGUGCGUAGUCGGGUUGUUAAGUCAGUGGUGAAAUCUUGCAGCUUAACUGUAAAAUUGCCAUUGAUACUGACGAUCUUGAGUACACUUGAAGUGGGCGGAAUAUGUCAUGUAGAGGUGAAAUUCUUAGAGAUGACAUAGAACACCGAUUGCGAAGGCAGCUCACUGAAUUGUAACUGACGCUGAGGCACGAAAGCGUGGGGAUCAAACAGG
rnacentral:rRNA from 1 species